AUCCCCUUGCGUUGGAGAACUGGCUAGGAUAGCUGGUAGCUAGGUGUCUGUUAGCUGCAAGCACACGUAUAACACUUGUAACUAGGUGCAUGCUACUGCACUGAAAAUGUAGCAUAGAAGUGUUGGACCUUGGCAGUUCAUGAUGGAGUUCCUGGAGCUAUAAGCAUUCUGGCAGCUUUUCCUGCUCAAAGAAGACAAAGAAGAGCCAGGUUCCUGGUGGAAAUGUCAGAUGCAAGAGGAGUGUGGCUCGUCGUGAAUCAGCUGGUUUCAGAGUGCACGAUGUGGAAUCCCUCAGCGACGGAGGGUAUGUCAGAUUGGAUGCAGCAGCAGCAAACACCACAGACACGGAGAAACUGGAAAAUGCUAGAAACGUAAGAAGUCCUUGCUUUCUUUUGGCAAAGCCUAGUGUGAAAGAAAAAAUAGCCAUUUGCAGAGGAAAUGGGAUACUGCUUUUCAGUUGGCUCUUUGCUAAUAAAAGACUGCAAGAUUGUUUGCCUCUUCAAAGGUCAUUUUUGUUCGGACUGUGAAGCAGAGCACUAACAGAGGAGCUUCAAAAGCAAAGAGAACCUGAAGUCAAAUUACUCAAAGAAGCAAAAGCAGAGCAAAAUUUGAAGUCAGGAAGUGGUUAGGCAAGACCGAAUAAAAACAAAACAGGAAGAAAGGAAAAUCCUUAUUAUGAUCCACAGUAAUGCAGCUAAGACUGAGUUAUUCCUGUGAAUAAUGGCUCUGAGAGUUAUUAAUAAUUGGAGUAAGACAAGAUAAUAGAAAAUAGACUGUACAGUACAUCCUUGGAGUGGCAAAAGAGGGCUAUCUAUCUUCAUAUUUCUUAUAUUUCAUAUAGUUUUGAAUCAUGUCAGAAGCCUGCAGCAGACUUUUAUUUUACCAAGAAAACAACCUUCCAGUACCAGUGUCAAGAGAAUGAGAUAUGUGUGUUGGACCAGUCAGGUAUGUGGGGAAGAUAACGGGCAAGGAGGAGACAUGGUAAACGAGAACGUCUCUGAAACAGUGUUAAAGAGUGAGGAAAGGAGCAGAUAAUCGAUUGUGCUGAUCUCCCUAGGUACGUUGCAAGCACUGAGGAAGGAUGAGAAAAGGAGGCCCCAGAUGGGGAAGGGUGUGAGGUUAGCAGACAGAAGAGUGGAGCUGGAAAUACAGGUGAACGGUGAGAAAGCCAUAAAGGGCCGAGGUAAAGUGGGAACUGAACUAACAGAGGCAGAGAUGACCUUCUGAGGAAGCAAGGAAGCUAGAAACUGUGAGAAAGAACAGAAAAAACACUCCACAUUGGGUGUUUGCAUGGGAAAAAAAACACCUCUCUAAUACACCUGAAGACCUGAGCAGAGGAAAAAGGCCAGUGACAGGGAGAAACACCAUGUGUAAAAACAUACAUUUGAAGUUAAUAGCUCAUAAUUUUGAAGAGCUCAACAAAGCCAGUUUCUGAAAGAAUGAAGAGAGCAUUGGAGUCAGUCUGCAACAAAACAGAAUCUGGUGGGGUUGGUUUCCUCGUGGUGAUGCUACCAAGCCAAGAUGUUUCUCCUUGUCUCCUCUUGAUCUUGCUACCCUAUCUGUAACCCAGCUGUGUCCAGAGGUUCUUCCUUCCUUUUAAAAGGCUCACUUCAGAGGGCCUCGAGCUUGACCUAUUUUUUAAGUAUCUUGUACCAAUGGCAAAUUUUGUAUAACUGGGGGAUCUUUUUCUUUCCCUGAAUAAAUGCGUUAGUGCUAUAUUUCUUACUGUUUAGUGCCUGCAGCCUUACAUAUGUGAGAAACCGCAGACAUUUUCCCUUUGGGAGGAAAAAUCACUCAAGUCUAUUAGCUGAAGGAGAAAAAUAGCAGCACACCAAAUGUUGAGGCAAAGACUUGGAUUGCUCUCUCCUUCAAGUGGGAAUCCAGAGGCAGCCCUCCAAACUGAUUUGUACAGAAGGGCUCCUGUUCUCACAGAAGUGACCUUUCAGAACAGGGGAGGCAGCUCAGCACAAAGACCCCCAGACUGUGACACAUGGUACCUGCUAGAGCAAUCCCAAGAGUAUACUGAAUUCAGCCAGACCAUGCAGAUGAAGUCAUAGUUUAUAAUUACUGCCAGAGAUUGCAUCCUCUGUCCUCACUGUCAUACCCGCCUGUCAUCCCUCUGUCCUCCUACACUUGCUCUGAGAGGUUACACUGCCAGGUAAACUUACCUUUAAGUGUUAGAACCAUGGAAAUGAUUAACAUAUGACAGAAAUAAAGCCCACCUCUUUGAAAUAAAUCAUAAAAGUAUGUUUCUCCAGACAAAUGCUAUUUAAAAAUACAACACAUCAGCUUCUCUGGCCAUUAGAAAAGAUCUUGUCGUUUCUGUUUUCCUGAAUACAGUUCCUUCCCUUUUUUGCUAUCAUUGUACAGCACCAUGCUUUCUGCCAUAACACUAUUUUGUAUACAGAUGUUCUAUAUCCACAUCCCCUGACAGCAGCAUCAGUGCUAUUUCAAAGUUAUCACAAUGGCACAGCAGCCAACUGCUAUAGAUCCAGCAAAAAUGAUAAUUUUGCAUAUUUUGCUCUGCUUCUUCACUUACACUACUGUCUUAUUGAAAGCACACAGUGAAAAAUGCCUGAAGAAUAACAGAAUGCGGAAUGCUGAAUAAUUACAUGUUUCUCAGAACAUGUAGUUAGAGGAGAUGUUCUAUUUAAGAACAAUGUGUAGAUAAACACUAUGACAGUUUCUUUUCCAGAGCCUUGCAAAAAAUUAGAAGAGAACACCCUCCAAAACCAGACUAUUGGGUGAGCACGAGGCAAUCCUUUUUCUUAGAUGCAUAAAGUUUGUUACAAGAUUAUGAACUCAGACAAAACAAGCACAAAGUUAUCUUUUUGGUGAAAGCCUCAGCAAGAAUUGCUGAUUCAAGACGUACCAAAGACAUUCAUCUAGAGAUAAGCCCUAAAUAUUUCAAGGACAAAAGAAAACCACAAUCUAGAGAGGUUUCAUGCUUAUUACAGUGGUGCCAAUCUUCCUAGGAAAUUAAAAUAAAAUUUCUAUAUGCAUCAUUACUUUGUGUACAGUGUAUGGGCUUAAUACUAACUGGUUUCAGAUGGAGCAGAACAAGAGCAAUGCUAAGGGCUUUGAGCAAAAGCUCUGUGGGAUUUGCCAGAGACAGAAGACACCCUUAGCAAUCUAACGACAGGACUGACAGUCACAAAAGCUGGCCGUAAGCCACAGCUUUGCCAUUGUAAUCAGUGUGUGGCCACAUGCAAGUCAUUUUAUGUCUUUGUGGUGGAGUUUGUUGCAGGGAGAACUGGUACUGUACUGCUUGCCGCUGUCCUGGGGUUCUCAGUGGUCUGGUACAAGAACAAAAACAUCUUAUUAUAAAACACUUUGACUGAUGAGCUCAGAUUUUACUGACAAAUUAAGAAAAGUUUGACUUCCUUCAUCCAGUUUUGCUCAUUAGUUUCUUUACUAUAUAUUAAUACUUCCCUUCUCCCAUGCAGCAUGAAACUAAUUUAACUGGUAUUGUUUUCAGUGGAAGUGGGAUUAGAGCCUUUGUAGAAGUGUUGGCAGUAUUGUGGAAACACUGGAAACUCUCAUGGAAACUUUAUUCACAGAGGGUAUGAGAAGCAGAAAAAGUUAGUCAUUUUAAAAGCCAUACAAUCUGUAAGGUGUGUGGUUACUUCUGGCAGUGAGAAGUGAGAUUCUUCAACAGACCUAAUGAACGAUGUCAAAUUCUAUGUAUAAAUAUUUAAUGGGCUUGAACUGCCCAGGAGUAUGUUAUUGCAGGUUGUCUGGCUUUUGAGGCACGUGUAAUCUGAUCAGACACUGACUGCACUGCUAAUACAGCACUCAGUAUAUGACACAGGUGUCAGCUGCCUCUCGAGGGAUCUCUCUUCAGGAAUAAAUCGUAGGUGGCAUUAUGGCUCACAAACAGGGGAAAGCACCCAGAUAAGACCUGUUAAGGGAAAGAUCAUUUUCAUUUCAGAUUUUCCAGUUCAAGUGCACCCACACAGAGCUUGAAUUUAGCAGGGACUUCUCAUGCUGUGACCGUCACUUUAGGUUCCAGCUCCAGCCAGCAGGUUACUUGGGCUGCUUUACAAGUGCAGUUGUUCAGUUUACAAUACAGGCACAUAUCCUCAACCGAUAUAAGUUGUUACCACUGAAGAAAGAGGGUACUUUAUAAAUAGCUUAGGGUCUGCUCACUGGCAUUUACUGUAGAGUUGCAGAGACAUUUUCCAAUAAGAUUUUACCAUUUUCAGGGAGUUCACUGGCUGUAAAUUUUGACAAUGUCCCUUUAAAGCAUGUGAAUGGUUUAUAGGGCCUUUUCUCCUCUCCAGGUCUUCAGGGUGUUUAGCAAGUUCAAUACCAGGAUAUAUCACUUGAAAAAUAAGGAUAAAACUAGUAAUAUCUGCCUGCAGCUUUAUCCAGCCACCUCUCUCCUAUUUCACCGUUGUUUUCUCUAAAAUUAGCCUGGAAACAUAGGAAGACUAAAUGCCUAGUGUAACAUUAUCAAAACAAUAACCCUUCCCCUCACAAAAAUCACCAAUGUUUCAAACUCAGAUGUGCUGAUCAGUAGAAGAAAACUAAUGCUGCAUCAUGCUGAGAUUUUAAUGGAAAUUAAACUAACCUUGUUUUGUUAUUAAAGGAGUCAAUAUUUUUAGUACGUCUGAUGAAUCAACAGUAGUAGUCUGUCUGGUGGAGAAUAUCAGUAGGGGUACAGUUGUUUCAAAGGGGAUUUUCUUCAGGAUGGAUCAUCUAAAAGCCUAUAUCCAUCAUAGUUCCCAUUUAUUCCCUUCUCCUUAAAGGCUUUACUGUGUUUACAUGCAGCAUUUUGCCUGAUGGCUUGGUUACAGGAGCUGCUAACAGUUUUACAUACUCAUCUUUAAAAGUUAGAGGCACAUUAAAGGGACUGAGCUUCAGUUGCUGCUUUCUGUAAGCCUCCUCUAAACUACUCUAGCUGUAGAAUGAAGUCUUUUCAUAAAUGAGAAUCAACCUCAUUGUUCUGACAAACUGCAGCAGCAUUUCUAAAGCGGUCAAUGCUUUAUACUGAAAAAAGUAACAUUGCAUUUCUCUAGAGGACUGAUAACAGCAUAAGUGAGAAGAAAUACAUAAAAAUCUCUGCUGGUCUAAACUGAUGUGGCACUAUGUAGUUUACCUGAUGAAAUAAAUUUAUUUUCUGCAUAUCA